ACAGCAAUCGAUGAGAAGCAGGGAUCGCCAUUUACAUAAGAGGAGACUGAGGCAUAGAGCAGCCCUGCCCCGAAUCCCUGCCAAAAGCGACCUCCUCCAACUGCAGCCUCAGCACCGACACUCUGAUGCUCACUGGUGUGCCUCCUGCCCGCCUCUGCACCACACAAGGAGCUCUUUGAGGACAAGGACUAUGUUGAACUCAUCUUUGUAUUUCCAGCCAUCAGCACAGUGCCAGGGCCAGGGACGGCAUCAACAAACAUUCUGCUGAAUGAUUGAAUGGUCAAAGAAUAACUUUUUCUUAAGGACAAAAUCGUGACUCUGAUACCAAUAACCUAUGUCA
rnacentral:lncRNA from 1 species